GACUAACGCUGGCGGCGUGCCUAACACAUGCAAGUCGUGCGGGAGAGAGGAGCAAUCCUUAAUCUAGCGGCAGACGGGUGAGUAACGCGUAAAUAACCUGCCCUGUCACUGGGGAUAAGCUACCGAAAGGGAGUGUAAUACCGAAUGAGUCUUUGUGCCGGAGGGUAUAGAGAUAAAAGGCCGUAAGGCCGUGAUAGGAGGGGUUUGCGUCCCAUUAGCUAGUUGGUGGGGUAACGGCCUACCAAGGCGACGAUGGGUAGCUGGUCUGAGAGGAUGGUCAGCCACACUGGAACUGGGACACGGUCCAGACUCCUACGGGAGGCAG
rnacentral:rRNA from 1 species